UGUUCCAGGUUGGAAAGCUCAGUUGGUUUCAGCGUGGUGCUGAUAACGCCAAGGUUGCAGGUUUGAUCCCCGUAUGGGACAG
rnacentral:tRNA from 1 species